GCCCGGCUUGAACUUGCCCCGCCAUGGUUGUCAUGGCAAACGCUUCAGGGUCCUCACAGGGGCUUUGCCGGAAGUCCGUCCUGGGAGGCCAAUUGAAGAGUGCCGAGGUGGUCCGCUCAGGUCCCUGCGUGACCAGAGUUGCGUUUUGCAGUAAAACGAUCUCAAGGACCUCGGAGGCGGCAGCCGCGCCCCCUUCCAGAGCACCUCCGGGACGACGCACUUUGACCCGGAAGUGGGUGGGAGAGGAAGCAGCUGGUGAUGCUGGAACAAACAUGGCCGUCCCGGUACCCCUCGGCCGCUUCGGCUCCUUCUGCCUGCGGCUGCUACGACUGCUGGCGUUGCUGGAGCUGCUGGUCCACCCCGUCUUGGGCCGCGUCCAUCACCUGGCGCUCAAAGAUGAUGUGCGGCAUAAAGUCCAUCUCAACACCUUCGGGUUCUUCAAGGAUGGGUACAUGGUGGUCAACGUCAGCAGCCUCUCUGUGAACGAGCCUGAGGGAGCCACGGACAAGGAUGCUGAGAUCGGAUUCAGUCUGGAUCGGACUAAGAACGAUGGCUUUUCUUCUUACCUGGAUGAAGAUGUGAAUUACUGUAUUUUAAAAAAGAAGUCCAUGUCUUCUGUCACUCUUGUCAUCUUAGACAUCUCUGGAAGCAUAGUCAAGGUCAGAUCCCCACCAGAAGCUGGUAAGCAGUUACCAGAGAUUGUCUUCAGCAAGGAUGAGAAAAUCCUGAGUCAGAGCCAGGAGCCUGCUGUCAGCUCCAACCCCAAAGACAGUGAGGCUCGGAGAACCCUCGAUGGUUUCAAGGCUGGACGAAGUACAGUGGACUCAAAGGCUAUCACAGAGCGAUCCUUCUCAAUUCACAAGAAUGACGGGGUGGUCUCAUUUCAGUUCUUCUUUAACAUCAGCACCGAUGACCAGGAAGGCCUCUACAGCCUUUACUUCCACAAGUGCUCAGGCAACAACGUGAAGCCUGGUGAACAGGCCUCAUUCAGCCUGAAUAUUGCUAUCACAGAGAAGAACCCUAACAGCUACCUCUCUGCCGGGGAAAUCCCUCUCCCCAAGUUAUAUGUUUCCAUGGCCUUGUUCUUCUUUCUGUCUGGGACCAUUUGGAUUCACAUCCUUCGUAAGAGAAGGAAUGAUGUAUUUAAAAUUCACUGGUUGAUGGCCGCCCUUCCUUUCACCAAGUCUCUCUCGUUGGUGUUCCAUGCAAUCGACUACCACUACAUCUCCUCGCAGGGCUUUCCGAUUGAAGGCUGGGCUGUUGUAUACUACAUAACUCACCUGCUAAAGGGCGCACUCCUGUUCAUCACCAUCGCCCUCAUCGGCACUGGCUGGGCCUUCAUCAAGCACAUCCUGUCUGAUAAAGACAAGAAGAUCUUCAUGAUUGUCAUCCCGCUCCAGGUCCUGGCGAAUGUGGCCUACAUCAUCAUAGAGUCCACUGAGGAGGGCACAACUGAGUAUGGCCUAUGGAAGGACUCUCUGUUCCUGGUUGACUUGCUUUGCUGUGGCGCCAUCCUCUUCCCAGUGGUGUGCUGCCAUUAACUUAGCGAAGCUGAGGCUUUUCAGACAUUACUACGUCUUGAUUGUGUGCUACAUCUACUUUACCAGGAUCAUCGCCUUCCUUCUCAAGUUUGCUGUUCCAUUCCAGUGGAAGUGGCUCUACCAGCUGCUGGAUGAAACAGCCACGCUGGUGUUCUUUGUCCUGACGGGGUAUAAAUUUCGCCCAGCUUCAGAUAACCCCUACCUGCAGCUCUCUCAGGAAGAUGAUGACCUGGAGAUGGAGUCCGUAGUGACGACAUCGGGUGUGAUGGAGAAUAUGAAGAAGGUGAAGAAAGUGAGCAACGGUGCUGUGGAGCCCCAGGGCAGCUGGGAAGGCACCGCGUGACAGCAGGGCUGAGGACUGCUGUCAAUGAAACUAGCUUAUUCAUAGCCAAGCAGUGAGCAAGCGCGUUCCUGACAGAACGAUGGCAUCUCCCAGCGGUGACACUCCAGCCAGCGCUCAGCGCUCAUGCUGAGCAAGUGCCACGGACACACAUUUUUGUACUCUUAGGAUCUGGAUUGUGGUGUGGGCUACAGGCAGCUAGGACUGCCCUCAGUGAGGGCGGGAAGGGGCUUAGAGGAGGAGUAAAGGACUGGAGUCUGAUUUACCUUGCUAAUUGGGAGCCUGGGUCUGUGCCAAGGAGCCCUGUGGCUGCUACUCAGAAAGGCUAUGGGGUGGGGGAGCGGGUCUGCGCUGGUCAGUGCUGUGGAGGCUGGGGAGGGUGUGACUCGCUGCUCAGCCUAGCAGUUUAUAAGGCUUUGGGUUCAAUUCCUAGCACCAGGGUGGGGGAGAAGGAUUUACUUUGGGAACUAGACAGAUAUCUACCAAGGGCAUAGGAGAAAGGGAUUGUCAGCCUUUGGGGACAAGAACCACAGAAAUGAAUGAAAUUCUUUCAGAUAGCCAAAUAGACACCCUAGGUGGCAUGACACCUGUCCAGGGAGGGCCACUGGUCCCCAAGCACCACUCUAAAUGUCCUCGCCCUGAUGUGACCUACACCAGUGGUGCUAGAGGCCAGCAGGGAGGACCCAGUACACAGCUGGCUGAAGGGAGAAAGGCCUUGGAGCUCCAGAAGUGCGCUCCAGCUGGCUCUCCUGACUCCAUUCCCCUGCCUGCCCAGAGCAGCCGCCUGGCUUCCUCUCCUUCCACCUGUGUCUUCUGAUCCGAAUCCGAGAAAACAGAACUUUCCUGAAGGAGCAGCUGAGGACAGAAAGGGUAGUGUCUAAACGAACGCUUAGGUAAGCAUCCUUCCACAGAUUGCAUGGGCCAGGCAGGACCUCUGAGCCUCAACUACGUAGUCCAAGUAUGCAUGAAGGGAGUGAGUGUGUUUGAGCCACUCAUGCUCAGAGACCUGAAACAGCCAGAUCUGCUCAGAGAUUGGGCAGGAACACCAGCGGCUGCCUGCAGAAGGCAUGUGACAAAGUCACAGGAGACCAGUUCGGCACCUCAGAGCCGCUUAGUGCCCAGGACUUGCAGGUGAGUCGCACCUUCAAGGAACAGGCGCUUCCUGGGGUGAGUUACUCUACCUCCCAGUGCAGAAGAUCUCUGUCCUGAAGACAGUGUGUCUGUCUCCACACCCCCAGCCCAAGUCCAUGUCCUAAGCCAUCAGUGAGAAGCCGCUGCUUGUGCUGCCCUGGCAGGUCCGUCCCUACCACAGGUGUUCCGACAGGCCUGAAGGAUCUAUUUAAGGGACUCUUUCUCCUCGUUCCGUUUGUUUGUUUGUUUGUUUGUUUGUUGUGUUUAUACUUGUUUAAAGUGUGUGGUGGGGAAGGAGUUGUUGAGGAGAUGGGGCAUUAGUGCUUUGUUUUCUGCACGUAAGCACUGCAGAAGUGUGUUCCUCUGGUGACAUCUAAGCCACAGCCUGCCUCUCAGAGGGCAGGGUCUUUUUGGAAGGGGCCUCGUUUCACUUGCUGGGUUUUAGGAGAGCCAGAGGGGAGAAGUUGUACCACCCAGCCCACAGAGCUGUCUGGGUGCACAGCCGAGCGGGUGGAGGGACAGCCUGCUCCUUCCAGGGCAUGGGUGCACGGGCUGGGAGGUGUGCUACAGCAGUAUCCUCCCAAGUCUUGCCCUGGAACUGCUGUAGGUGGGAAGCCAGGCAUGGCGGGGGAAUGGGAAGCCUAACCUGGGGCUGGGAAGACUGGCCUGGUGCCCAGGCUGUGGAAAGGAAAGCUUCUAGCCCUUUAUCCUGCACUGUAAGCGUAUCUCGUAUCUCGUCUCCAUCACUUGAGAGCUGUGAGCCAGCAUUCCGCGGUGUCCUUGGGUAGAGGAGUCUGAUUGGAGUCCAGCCGCCCCAGCUCACGAGCUGUCCUCUGCAGCCUUGAGUCUUAGCCCACCUGGCUUCACACAGCCCUGUUUCAGUGGUAAAGCCCAUGUGUUGGAGGGGCUGAGCAAAAAUGGGGUGUGCAUUGCACUGCCACUCUGGUAUUAACAGCUCUGCUCUGUGUCUCUCCCCCUUCUGCCUGUGUGAGGUAUCCAUACUUUGAGAGUGCUGUGGACUGGAAGCUGUGGGCUGUGACAUUUAAUAAAGUGUGGUAGAUAAUUAUUUCUUGGACAACAA